rnacentral:rRNA from 1 species
UAUCAGCUCUUCGAGUGGUGUGGAUGUUUAUUGGGCCUAAAGCAUCCGUAGCUGGCUGGGCAAGUCCCCUGUUAAAUCCACCGAUUUAAUCGUUGGAGUGCGGGGGAUACUGUUCGGCUAGGGGACGGGAGAGGCAGACGGUAUUUUCGGGGUAGGGGUGAAAUCCUAUAAUCCCGGGAAGACCACCAGUGGCGAAGGCUGUCUGCUAGAACGCGCCCGACGGUGAGGGAUGAAAGCUGGGGGAGCGAACCGGAUUAGAUACCCGGGUAGUCCCAGCUGUAAACGAUGCAGGCUAGGUGUUUGGGCGGCCACGUGCCGCUCUAGUGCCGCAGGGAAGCCGUUAAGCCUGCCGCCUGGGGAGUACGGCCGCAAGGCUGAAACUUAAAGGAAUUGGCGGGGAGCACCACAAGGGGUGAAGCUUGCGGUUU